GUUUCCGCUUUUGCUUCUUCCUCAUGUUUCUCUUGCCACCGCCGUGUAAGAACUGCCUUUUGUCUUCUGCCAUGAUUCUGAGGCCUUCCCAGCCCUGUGGAAUUCCUGAAAUUCCAUGAUUACCUUGAAGUUGUGGGAGAGGCAAUUUCGGGAAGUGGUGUUCUGACCAAACUUCAUUCUCAUUAAGUUUCCUCAAGUUUGAAGGCAUGUUUCAUCUCCACUGAUUUAAAGCUAUUGGAUUUGAUUUGUAUUUUCAAGAAGGGCUUUGGAGAGUUUUGUUUUCAAACGCUGAAGAAAAAUUGAACCCACCAGACUUUGAAAAUCAACAGUAGACCUAAUAAAAUUCUUCAGUGCCUCCCGACAGGCUUCAAGACAAAAUCCCAACUCCUUCCUAUGGUGAGAAAGCCCUCCCUUUAUGACUCAGUAACACUCAGUUCCUCCCACCCUGAACAGAGCCACUGUCUCAGCCAUACACGAUGAUUAUGGGCCCCAAGUGCACAGGUUCUCUCCGACUUGUGUACCUAUGUAGGCUUUACUUUUACUCACAAUGCAUUCUUUCUCCAAUCGGCUUUCUUCCAUCAACACCUCCACACCACUGAGGAAAUUAACUAACUAAACGACCCUGUGUGCUUGAAUAAUGUAGCAAGAAGGGGCCUGAAGAACAUCAUCUAAAAAUCAAGCUAUGGAAACAAGUGAAUCUACUUCUGAAUGUCAAAAUGGAACUUCUUUCUUUCCAGAGACCUGUGUGAUCACCGGGCACCAUCUCAUUUUAUGCCUCAUGCUGACUAGAGCCCUUUUAACCUUGAGUCUGAAGUUAAUAUUAUGAAUUAUAAUUAGUACUUACUGUGCAUGAGGUUUAUGACCGCAGGAAGUCUUAUAUUAAGAGCACUGAAAAGAAGCCCUAAAUAAAAAGUUUAAAAGCCCCAAAUGGGAACAUGCCAAAUAGUUUUAAGAAGGACAUAAAGUUAUCUUAUUUAGGUUAUCUCCCUACCCUCAAAUCAAUAUGUACGAAAAAAAAAAUUGUGAGUUAAAAAAAUUUUUUGUUUCAUCUUGGUUGAGGAGUGGAUAGAGGAUUGGUAAUACCAAUUAGACAGAGCUAACACUUUCAUGAUUUAGUCCAAAUAAGAGAGGAUAGAAUUCAAGAAAUGGUGAUAGUAUUGAAAAUGGAGGAAAAAAGAUUUAUAUUACAAAAUUUGAAAACUUUACUGAUGAAUUGAUUUGAAGGAAGUACAGAUAAAGAAAACACAGAUGACUUGCACAUUUAUUGUUUCAGCAGUAGGGAGAAGGCAGUGUCAUUUCCUAAGAUGUAAAAGACUGAGGUGAAAAUUAGGAAUUGGAGAAGAGAAGAGAUUGCAAAAACUGAGAGUGAGUUCACCCACUGUGAAUAAUGAAUAUUUCAAUAAGCAUUAGAGGAAAAAAUCAUAAACUGCAUCACCUUUCAAUAGUGCUUUUUGAGAGCAGUGUAAAUUAUCAGAAAUAUUGCUACUGCAGAAAUUCACCUCAAUAGAUAUCAUGAGGUAAAUUUCCCCACAAGUUCCAGGUCCCCAUGAUUAUGGCAGUAAGUUAUUUCAUUAAUAUUUGCCAAACUAGUUUUAAUGUAAUCGCUGUACUUCAUAUAUAAAUGCCCAUUUCUGGGAAAAAGAAUACAACUUAUUUGGAUCUAGUAAUUAUAAAAUAUAGCUAUGAAAAAUAUCUAUUAGCAAAACUCUGUAGGGGAUUUUCCUGUAAGGGUUUUGGCAGAUUGCUCCCAAUAGUGCUUUUAGUAAUGCCUUUAUGUCUUCACAAAGCAGGAUGUUAGAGAGAAGGUAGUAGUUACUAGUAAAAUUGAGUUGAGAAAUUGUCAAAAAUAUGGAGCAGCUCAUAAAACAGAAUCUUCAAAGUGACAUGUGGCAUUUGAAACCUUAAAAUUUUAACAAAAGUGAAAAUUAUGUACAAAGAUUUUUACAUAUUUUAUUUGACGAAGCAAAAGAUUAAUGCUCAGUGAAAACAGUGGGGACAUGUAAAAACACAUAAUCAAUUCCAAUGUCUUUAAAAGGCAGACUAAUUAGGGCACAGAAAUGGGUCUGUGCAACAGAAAAUAUGUACCCCAUAAAGCGCAUAAAUAGAUUUUUCAUUGAUGACAAACUUUGAAAGUCAUAGGAGCAUCUUUGGAGUAUUUUCAGCUAACCUGCCCAAUUAACCCAUUUGUUGCCUCCCGAACCCACUCAUUACCUGUUCUUUUGGACAGGUAUUGCAGCAAUUGCUAUCCAUAUGUUCAAAAUUCUAAGAAAAUAUAUAAAAAUUACAUGUCAAUCUUAUUGUAAGUGUAUCUAUAAAAAUGAAACAUGGUGAGUAAUUCCAGUGCUCCUCUUCUUCAGAAAGAAUCACUUCUUAUAAAACCACCAAUUGAAGCACUAGUUGUUUGUGAAUUUUGUUUUGUUUUCUUCAGAUCAGUCAAUCAGAUUCACCAGAACUUAAUGUGUCACCCUUCAUUUGGAAAGGAAAUUCUCCAUGUAAUAGGGAAAAAAGUAUCUUUUCUAGGACUUGGUUCACUUGUGAAAUUCAAGUCAUUUUUGUAAAAGCUAUAGAAAAGUCCUCUCCUUUUUCUAGGUAGAAUCACUGUAUAUGUGAAUAUGUAUUUGUUGUACAAAUGAGUGAAUGAUCAGAUGGAUGCAAGACAGGGCUUUCUGCUUCUAUUGAAGCCCCAUCUAUGUCUAUGUCUCAAAACAUCAUCCUGCAAUCCUGUUAAAAUAAAGACAGGUUAUGUCAUUCCUCUGGCUCAAAACUCCCAUAUAGCCUCCCAGCUUACCCUGAGUAAAGUCCAGUCAUUACCCUGAUUUACAAGGCUUGAUAAGACUGAGACCUCAUUUCCCCUUUGACUUCACUUCCUUCUAUCCUACCACUGCUCACUUUGCUCCAGCCCCUCCCCUCCCUCCUUAUUCACACCCAACCCACCACAUAUACUCCAGAUGAAGGCUUUGCACUCUGUCAUGCUCAACUAGUGUCAACAUGCCACACUCCAUUGCAAACUGUUUACUAAAAUGUAACUUUUUCGGUGAAACAUUUCCAGACUAUUUUAUUUUAAAAGCAUGUUUUCUAAUACUCCUUGUCUCAUUCUCUGCUUUAUUUUUCUCUGUAGUAUUUAUUGCCAUUUGACAUUCCACAAAUUUACCUUUCCCUUUUAAUUAAUUUUGCCAUAAUUUACAGUCUAAAUGUAUGCACAAUCUAAGAGGAUACGGUUUUCUGUGUAUUCUGUGGACCCCCUGCUUAGAAAACUAGCACAUAGUGGGCAUGCAAUAAAUAUAUUUGAAUGAGUGAAUGAAUCAAGGCAACUGUCUUGACAACUGUGAGUACUUAUACAGUUCUUUUUGCAAAUGGACCCCAGAAACAUAUAGUUGUUUUGUUUAAAGCAAUGAAUAUUUUGCAAAAACAUUGCUACCAGGGAGAUUCUCUCCAGACACACUUCAAUUUCAGCCAAGUAAACCAGUAAACUGAAUCAUGACUAGAAGAGUCAAUGGUCAAAUAUAUCCCACAGCCACUAAUGAAGUUUAUUAAAGCCUUGUGCCUAGACUCUAAAAUUAUUCAGUCGUUGGUCAAGGAAAACUUUCAUUAUCCUCAAACUAAAAAAUAGUCAUCAUAAAGCUGUCCACAACUUCUAAUCAAUGGGCUUUUCUAUGUAUAGUAAUCUCUCUCCCAUUUUGGGUCUUAUCACUGUAGUUAUCUACAUUCCUUUCCUCUGAAAUGAUAAAAGGAAACCCAUAUGAAACUGGGAUUGCUGUUUACUUUGCAGUGUAUGUUUUGAUUGCUAUUACCUUCUACACUGAGUAGAAAAAUGGUGGUAUUAAAGGAUAUAUAAUGACCUGUUAGCAUGGCAUGACUAAGAAUAAAUAAGUAAGAAUAUCUUGAAAUAAGAGGUUCUUUUUCAUGUUUUAAUAUCUCACUCAUGGUGAGCCAUCUUUCCAAUUAGUGCGAAGUAUGGCCCACAGGUGACCCAGUGAUGAUAUGUCUUUACAUUCUUUUCAAAACUUGUCAGUAAAAUGGAUUAACAAAAGGAUGAGUGACACUUAUAAAUUAAUUUGGCUAACUUCCAAGCAUACCAAAUUAAAUAAGCUUUUGCCUACCUUGAUUUAUAAAUGAUUACUUGGUCUUUAUAAUAGCCAAAAGGAUAAUUUUUAUUGCAAAAUAUCCUUCAUAAAAUUCCUAUGAAAGACAGAAUUUCUUUUAUUUCCCAAGUCUGCUAGUUUUCUG
rnacentral:lncRNA from 1 species